AACGAACGCUGGCGGCAUGCCUAACACAUGCAAGUCGAACGAGACCUUCGGGUCUAGUGGCGCACGGGUGCGUAACGCGUGGGAACCUGCCCUUAGGUUCGGAAUAACUCCCCGAAAGGGGUGCUAAUACCGGAUAAUGUCUUCGGGCCAAAGAUUUAUCGCCUUUGGAUGGGCCCGCGUUGGAUUAGCUAGUUGGUAGGGUAAAAGCCUACCAAGGCGACGAUCCAUAGCUGGUCUGAGAGGAUGAUCAGCCACACUGGGACUGAGACACGGCCCAGACUCCUACGGGAGGCAGCAGUAGGGAAUAUUGGACAAUGGGCGAAAGCCUGAUCCAGCAAUGCCGCGUGAGUGAUGAAGGCCUUAGGGCUGUAAAGCUCUUUUACCCGGGAUGAUAAUGACAGUACCGGGAGAAUAAGCUCCGGCUAACUCCGU
rnacentral:rRNA from 1 species